CCAGAGAAAUCGAUGCCGACCAAGAGCUUCGCCAACCCUAUCUCUGCCGACCACCUACCUAUUGGCGACGAACUACUUCCAUGCAUGUCUCGAUGGAAACGACAAAUCAACUGUGAUGAACCUUGGAGGUUUUAUGCUAUUCAAGCGAUCUCCGGCGAAGACACAUCGACUCUGAUUGGUCUGCAACGCCGACGACUUAAUCCGGUGCUCUUGGCUCGCUUGGUGCUGGAACAUUGAUCAAGACUUCAAAUCCUACAAGCUUAGAAUUUGGUGAAGUGGUGGUGCAAUGGAGGAACCGUCCUAUCAUCUUUUUGGAUUGAGAUAGCAGCUGAUCUUGAACCAAUACAUUUCAAUAAGAAAACUUGAAGUUGAACAAGUGAGGGGUUGGAAAGAGAAGGGCCAAAUAAAGAAUCGAUUCAGUAGCUAUGCUGUUCGUUGUGAGAUAGCAGAUCAGCAACUGGGUCCUUAUUUCCGAUCAUAAGGGACUCCAGUUACCCGUGGAGCGAAAUGCUUGAGAUUCUCGGAGUUCGUGAGGAAAGCCUCGGAUUCCAGGUAGGGGACCCGGAACUCCCUUGAUUAGUGAUUUUAUUGUUUUAUAAAACGUUAAAUGCAUAUAUGAGAUUGCAUGAUUUGGUUAUCAUGAAUAUGGUAACCGUUUAUAUGAGUUAUUGAUGGCUUGAGAGUGAGAGGAGCAUAGCGACUUCCUUGGGUUCGAUCCCUUAAACCUCCGGAGGGGCCUCUAUGGACGGAAGAGUGUCUUACAUCCCUUGUGGAGUGGCACUGCUUCCGGGCGAUAGGGCAUUUGUGGACACUCUCGCUAUACUUACCUGUUGUGUACAUAUAUAGUGAGGUAAGUUGGAUAGUGGGUCUAAAUAUAUGACCGGCCAUCAGGUAUAGUUUAUGGCGCCACAUUUAUUUG